rnacentral:lncRNA from 1 species
UCGCGGUGUGGUUUUUAGAGAUGAAUUUUUGAAAUUUUGGCCGAAAUUAGUUUCGCGAGGUCAUCGUCACGAUGACGAUGCGGGAGAUGCAGCGACCGCAUUUGUUGGUCGAGGAAGAAAAACACAUUUCGAGUAACGACCACUAUGAAAACUGCAACCUCGUCCUGGCCCAAAAAUUCCUGUUUCUCUUUGACGUGCUCACUGCGCUGGCAGCUAUACGGCUCGUAUUCGUGGGUCAUGCCGCGUUGGAAACUAUUACAUAUUCGACGUUUUCUUGGGGAUCAAGAUGGCCAUUCUCCCCGUGAUUUAUAUGUUCGAUGGAUUUUGCGCAUUUCUUCUCACUUUUCUGGGGUGCGUCGGGUCUUACACCCAAGAUCCGCGCACGCUAGUCUCGUAUUCACUAGGGAUUCUAGCCUGCAUUUUGCUGCAAAUCAUCGGAGGGUUCUAUUCGCUGUACCAUCGGUUCUUCUUCAAAAAUACCAUGCGGGCGGCCCUGAAAGACUCUUUGCUUGAGUACAACAGCACCAUUCAGAACCAACUUUACACCGGUGGCACGAUAUGCAAAGAAAGGUAAACGAAAUCUCCGACUCUGUUUUGCCGAGCUUGGCUUGAACGUAAAUAUCCAAGACAAGAUUAUAAU